rnacentral:rRNA from 1 species
AGCGUACACGGUGGAUGCCCUGGCAGUCAGAGGCGAUGAAGGGCGUGCUAAUCUGCGAUAAGCGCCGGUAAGGUGAUAUGAACCGUUAUAACCGGCGAUACCCGAAUGGGGAAACCCAGUGUGAUUCGUCACACUAUCAUUAACUGAAUCCAUAGGUUAAUGAGGCGAACCGGGGGAACUGAAACAUCUAAGUACCCCGAGGAAAAGAAAUCAACCGAGAUUCCCCCAGUAGCGGCGAGCGAACGGGGAGGAGCCCAGAGCCUGAAUCAGCAUGUGUGUUAGUGGAAGCGUCUGGAAAGGUGCGCGAUACAGGGUGACAGCCCCGUACACAAAAGCGCAUGUGCUGUGAGCUCGAUGAGUAGGGCGGGACACGUGGUAUCCUGUCUGAAUAUGGGGGGACCAUCCUCCAAGGCUAAAUACUCCUGACUGACCGAUAGUGAACCAGUACCGUGAGGGAAAGGCGAAAAGAACCCCGGCGAGGGGAGUGAAAAAGAACCUGAAACCGUGUACGUACAAGCAGUGGGAGCACAGGUUUACCUGUGUGACUGCGUACCUUUUGUAUAAUGGGUCAGCGACUUAUAUUCUGUAGCAAGGUUAACCGUAUAGGGGAGCCGUAGGGAAACCGAGUCUUAAUUGGGCGUUAAGUUGCAGGGUAUAGACCCGAAACCCGGUGAUCUAGCCAUGGGCAGGUUGAAGGUUGGGUAACACUAACUGGAGGACCGAACCGACUAAUGUUGAAAAAUUAGCGGAUGACCUGUGGCUGGGGGUGAAAGGCCAAUCAAACCGGGAGAUAGCUGGUUCUCCCCGAAAGCUAUUUAGGUAGCGCCUCGUGAAUUCAUCUCCGGGGGUAGAGCACUGUUUCGGCUAGGGGGCCAUCCCGGCUUACCAACCCGAUGCAAACUGCGAAUACCGGAGAAUGUUAUCACGGGAGACACACGGCGGGUGCUAACGUCCGUCGUGAAGAGGGAAACAACCCAGACCGCCAGCUAAGGUCCCAAAGUCAUGGUUAAGUGGGAAACGAUGUGGGAAGGCCCAGACAGCCAGGAUGUUGGCUUAGAAGCAGCCAUCAUUUAAAGAAAGCGUAAUAGCUCACUGGUCGAGUCGGCCUGCGCGGAAGAUGUAACGGGGCUAAACCAUGCACCGAAGCUGCGGCAGCGAACGUAUCACCCAAGACAACUUUACGGAGUUGACGAUUGACGGAGCGAAGCGACGUCAAAGCGUUCAUUAAAGUCGAGUUGGCUUAGGGAUACGUUCGUUGGGUAGGGGAGCGUUCUGUAAGCCUGUGAAGGUGUGUCGUGAGGCAUGCUGGAGGUAUCAGAAGUGCGAAUGCUGACAUAAGUAACGAUAAAGCGGGUGAAAAGCCCGCUCGCCGGAAGACCAAGGGUUCCUGUCCAACGUUAAUCGGGGCAGGGUGAGUCGACCCCUAAGGCGAGGCCGAAAGGCGUAGUCGAUGGGAAACGGGUUAAUAUUCCCGUACUUGGUGUUACUGCGAAGGGGGGACGGAGAAGGCUAUGUUGGCCGGGCGACGGUUGUCCCGGUUUAAGCGUGUAGGUGUGUGUUCCAGGUAAAUCCGGUUCACUUUAACACUGAGGCGUGACGACGAGGCACUACGGUGCUGAAGCAACAAAUGCCCUGCUUCCAGGAAAAGCCUCUAAGCAUCAGGUAACACGAAAUCGUACCCCAAACCGACACAGGUGGUCAGGUAGAGAAUACCAAGGCGCUUGAGAGAACUCGGGUGAAGGAACUAGGCAAAAUGGUGCCGUAACUUCGGGAGAAGGCACGCUGACACGUAGGUGAAGUGAUUUACUCAUGGAGCUGAAGUCAGUCGAAGAUACCAGCUGGCUGCAACUGUUUAUUAAAAACACAGCACUGUGCAAACACGAAAGUGGACGUAUACGGUGUGACGCCUGCCCGGUGCCGGAAGGUUAAUUGAUGGGGUCAGCGCAAGCGAAGCUCCUGAUCGAAGCCCCGGUAAACGGCGGCCGUAACUAUAACGGUCCUAAGGUAGCGAAAUUCCUUGUCGGGUAAGUUCCGACCUGCACGAAUGGCGUAAUGAUGGCCAGGCUGUCUCCACCCGAGACUCAGUGAAAUUGAACUCGCUGUGAAGAUGCAGUGUACCCGCGGCAAGACGGAAAGACCCCGUGAACCUUUACUAUAGCUUGACACUGAACAUUGAGCCUUGAUGUGUAGGAUAGGUGGGAGGCUUUGAAGUGUGGACGCCAGUCUGCAUGGAGCCGACCUUGAAAUACCACCCUUUAAUGUUUGAUGUUCUAACGUGGACCCGUAAUCCGGGUUGCGGACAGUGUCUGGUGGGUAGUUUGACUGGGGCGGUCUCCUCCUAAAGAGUAACGGAGGAGCACGAAGGUUGGCUAAUCCUGGUCGGACAUCAGGAGGUUAGUGCAAUGGCAUAAGCCAGCUUGACUGCGAGCGUGACGGCGCGAGCAGGUGCGAAAGCAGGUCAUAGUGAUCCGGUGGUUCUGAAUGGAAGGGCCAUCGCUCAACGGAUAAAAGGUACUCCGGGGAUAACAGGCUGAUACCGCCCAAGAGUUCAUAUCGACGGCGGUGUUUGGCACCUCGAUGUCGGCUCAUCACAUCCUGGGGCUGAAGUAGGUCCCAAGGGUAUGGCUGUUCGCCAUUUAAAGUGGUACGCGAGCUGGGUUUAGAACGUCGUGAGACAGUUCGGUCCCUAUCUGCCGUGGGCGCUGGAGAACUGAGGGGGGCUGCUCCUAGUACGAGAGGACCGGAGUGGACGCAUCACUGGUGUUCGGGUUGUCAUGCCAAUGGCACUGCCCGGUAGCUAAAUGCGGAAGAGAUAAGUGCUGAAAGCAUCUAAGCACGAAACUUGCCCCGAGAUGAGUUCU